rnacentral:tRNA from 2 species
UAUGAAAUGGCAGAAUAAAUGCCUAAGCCUUAAGAGCUUAUCAUGACCUCUUGGUCUUUCAUAA